rnacentral:rRNA from 1 species
CCUACGGGAGGCAGCAGUGAGGAAUAUUGGUCAAUGGCCGGAAGGCUGAACCAGCCAUGCCGCGUGCAGGUCAGUGCCCUAUGGGCGUUAAACUUCUUUUGUGCGGGAGCAAUAAUGGUCACGUGUGGCCAGACGAGAGUUCCGUCCGAAUAAGCAUCGGCUAACUCCGUGCCAGCAGCCGCGGUAAUACGGGGGAUGCAAGCGUUAUCCGGAUUUAUUUGGUUUAAAGGGUGCGUAGGGUGGGAGGUAAGUCAGCGGUGAAAUGCCCCCGGUCAACGGGGUGAAGUGCCAUUGAUACUGCCUUGCUGGAAUGCGGAUGCCGUGGGAGGAAUGUGUGGUGUAGCGGUGAAAUGCAUAGAUAUCACACAGAACACCGAUUGCGAAGGCAUCUCACGAAUCCGCGAUUGACGCUGAUGCACGAAGGCGUGGGUAUCAAACAGGAUUAGAUACCCGAGUAGUC